rnacentral:rRNA from 1 species
UAAAAUAAUUAAGGGCACACAAAGGAUGCCUAGGUAGUAAGAGCCGAUGAAGGACGUGGUAAGCUGCGAUAAGCCUAGAUAAGUUGCAAUCGAACGUAAGAGUCUAGGAUUUCCGAAUGGAGCAAUCUAUUAAGAUGGAGUCUUAAUACGAAAGAGGGAACCGCGUGAACUGAAACAUCUAAGUAACGCGAGGAAAAGAAAGUAAAAACGAUACCCAAAGUAGCGGCGAGCGAAAUGGGUCAAGCCUAAACCUUAAAUAUGUCAAGGAUACAGCCGUUGUAUUUAGGGGGUUGAGGGACAGAGUAGUGAAGAACUGUAAGAUAUUCAAUAUAGUGUAUUGAUGAAUUGGAAUUGUCUGGAAAGGCGAACCGUAGAAGGUGAAAGUCCUGUACAAGUAAAUCCUUACACAUAUAACUCUGCUCCCAAGUAACAUGGAACACGAGGAAUUCUGUGUGAAUCUGUGAGGACCAUAUCUCAUAAGGCUAAAUACUCUUACUAACCGAUAGCGCAUAGUACCGUGAGGGAAAGGUGAAAAGAACCCCUGGAGGGGAGUGAAAUAGAACCUGAAAUUGUGUGCUUACAAGCGGUCAGAGCCAGUAAUGGUGAUGGCGUGCCUUUUGGAGAAUGAUCCUGCGAGUUACGUUAAACGGCGAGGUUAAGUAUAACGGAGCCGAAGGGAAACCAAGUCUUAAUAGGGCGAUUUAGUCGUUUGGCGUAGACGCGAAACCUGGUGAUCUAAACCUGUCCAGGAUGAAGCUGUGGUAAGACACAGUGGAGGUCCUAACCCACCGCCGUUGAAAAGUUGGGGGAUGAGGUAGGUUUAGGGGUGAAAAGCCAAUCGAACCAGGAGAUAGCUCGUUCUCUCCGAAAUGCAUCUAGGUGCAGCCUUGAGUGUUCAAUUAUGGGGGUAGAGCACUGAAUGAUCUAGGGGGCGUAUUGCUUACUGAAAUCAAUCAAACUCCGAAUACCAUAAUUUAGAGCUCAGGAGUGAGACUAUGGGAGUUAACUUCCAUUGUCGAAAGGGAAACAACCCAGACCACCAGCUAAGGUCCCUAAUUAUAACUAAGUGGGAAAGGAGGUGGAGAUUCACAAACAACUAGGAGGUUGGCUUAGAAGCAGCCAUACCUUUAAAGAGUGCGUAAUAGCUCACUAGUCGAGAGUCUCUGCGCCGACAAUGUAACGGGGCUAAGUUAUAAACCGAAGCUGUGGAAUCCGUAAGGAUUGGUAGGAGAGCGUUCUGUAGGCCGUUGAAGGAGAAGGGUAACCGACUCUGGAGGUAUCAGAAGUGAGAAUGCAGGAAUAAGUAGCGAGAAAGGGGGCGAGAAUCCCCCUCGCCGGAAGACCAAGGUUUUCAGGGUAAAGCUUGUCUUCCCUGAGUAAGCCGGGACCUAAGCCCAGGCUAUAAUGCGUAGGCGAAUGGAAAACAGAUUAAUAUUUCUGUGCCAGUCAUAUAUUGUGAUGGAGGGACGCAGAAGGGUAUGCGCGCGGACGAACGGAAGUGUCCGUAGAAGUAUGUAGGAUGACUUGAUAGGUAAAUCCAUUGAGUUAUAUCUGAGGUAUGAUAUACAGUCGUAAGAUGAAUGUGCAAAUCCCACGCUGCCAAGAAAAGCUUCUAACGUUAAUAUUUGACUGCCCGUACUGUAAACCGACACAGGUGGUCAGGAUGAGAAAUCUAAGGCGGACAGGCUAACUCUCGUUAAGGAACUCUGCAAAAUAACCUCGUAACUUCGGGAGAAGAGGAGCCCUUGGGUGUUAGUAUCCAUGCGUUACAAAGCACUCGAGGGUCGCAGUGAAGAGGCUCAAGCAACUGUUUAACAAAAACACAGGUCUAUGCUAAGCUGGAAGGCGAUGUAUAUGGGCUGACACCUGCCCAGUGCUGGAAGGUUAAGAGGAGGAGUGAGAGCUCCGAAUUGAAGCCCCAGUGAACGGCGGCCGUAACUAUAACGGUCCUAAGGUAGCGAAAUUCCUUGUC